UNGUAUUUUAGUGUUCGCUGGCGGCAGGCCUAACACAUGCAAGUCGAGCGGUAACACAGAGAGCUUGCUCUCGGGUGACGAGCGGCGGACGGGUGAGUAAUGUCUGGGAAACUGCCUGAUGGAGGGGGAUAACUACUGGAAACGGUAGCUAAUACCGCAUAACGUCGCAAGACCAAAGUGGGGGACCUUCGGGCCUCAUGCCAUCAAAUGUGCCCAGAUGGGAUUAGCUAGUAGGUGGGGUAAUGGCUCACCUAGGCGACGAUCCCUAGCUGGUCUGAGAGGAUGACCAGCCACACUGGAACUGAAACACGGUCCAGACUCCUACGGGAGGCAGCAGUGGGGAAUAUUGCACAAUGGGCGCAAGCCUGAUGCACCCAUGCCGCGUGUAUGAAGAAGGCCUUCGGGUUGUAAAGUACUUUCAGCGAGGAGGAAGGCAUUAAGGUUAAUAACCUUAGUGAUUGACGUUACUCGCAGAAAAAGCACCGGCUAACUCCGUGCCAGCAGCCGCGGUAAUACGGAGGGUGCAAGCGUUAAUCGGAAUUACUGGGGGUAAAGCUUGUCAGGCGUUUUGUCUUGUCGGAUGUGAAAUCCCCGGU
rnacentral:rRNA from 1 species